CUCAUCUAGGAAGACUUUGUGAGAUUGCUUGAGGUGAAUAAGUCUCUGGAAAUACAAUUUGCUUAGCAGGUGUGUGAAAUGACCUUGACAUACUGCACCAGCUCCACACUCAGUCAGGAAAAAAACAACGCAAAUUAGUGUGACUGUGUCAGAUGAAGAUGUUCCAGUUUGCUUUAAUUCUGACUAGUUACCCAGAAACUGUCUAUCCAGUUGUACGUGAAAACCUGGAGUAAGGGAUAUUGAGCCAAAUUUCAUCAUCUGCCAGGAAAGCUGCUCAGGCCAAGAGGCAGCAGGAAGCUGUUGACAAUGCAGAGAGGCCCCGAGACAGGCCAUAAUAGCACAAGCCAACUGCUGGGAAUUUAGUGCAACAUUCCACGGCUGAGAGAAGAUGACCAAUAAGACAAAAACGUUAUCCUGGCAAGGAAGUGCUCAAGGAUGUAAUUAACAAUGCCCACCAAGGACUAGCAGAUUGCUGAUCUAUACCAUGACAUGUGAGGGGUUCUCCACCCUUGGGGGAUUCUCCCAGCAGACUAGAAGCUCAUCUGAAGACUGUUUUGCAGUACUGGAACAGUUUGAAGGAGCUGCCUCCCAUCAGCAAGGGGAGCCUGUUGUGUCUAACAGAUAUUUGUACUUCUGUCUCAGAACUGCGUGAAUUCACAUCUGAGUCUUAUCCUGACCAAGCUAAGCAUGAAUUUCCAUCAUUUUUCAGUCCUGAGCCAAGUCUUUACUCUUUGAAGAUGUCAUUAAAACCACCUCAAAGUCCCUCUGCCUCACACUGUUACUUUCAGGAAUUGCUUAAAGGGUGAAAUCCAUUAAAACUGGCAGAAAAGUUGCCUGCAUUUCCGUAGAGUCGAUGAAAUCAAAUAGAAAUAUGAAGCUGAGAAAAAGGAAGGAAUGUGUGCGGCUGUGUGAAGUAGAGUCGAGCUCAGCCAUUGGAAAGUGGAAUGAGGACCUUGCCUGCCUGUCAGAGAAGGUGCAAAAGAUGGUCCAGAAUGUUGAUUUCAUGCUACCUUUAAUGCUUAUUACUGAACUCCACUGCUGUGAAAUCAGGGUAGACUGAGGCUGCGCUUCUUAAGUCAGUGAAAGGAAAUCUGAAAAUCUGGAGAGAGGAUCUGAGAUAGAAUAUGGAAAGCAAUUGUCAUGGUUAAGAGACGGUCUCCCCAUCUUCCCAAAACCCAUAUCUGUAGACCCACAAGGACAACAGUGAAGGAAGUCUUUCUGGAGUCUUGGCUGCUCUGUUGUGGAAGAAGAGGGUCUCAGGAUCAUUAUCUUCAUGAGGAAUUUGUAAGUGGUGCAGCACAGAUGAGUUGAGGGAACUGGGAGGUGGAGAUGUCUUGAAAUAUGCAUCUAGAGCAAGGAAGAUGGCAUUUAAGUUUGCAGAUGACACGAAACAACAGGUAGAGCUCUGGACAGCAACAAGUCUCUCACUCCAAGAAACAUCUGCUCAAUGGAGAAGGCAUGCAGUGAAAAGUGUGUCUCAUAUGUUCUGCUUAUAUCUGGUGGGCUUAGUUAAAAUAAGUAGCUAGUUUGGAAACAUAAAUGGAUUUGAGUGACACACAAGCCAAAUCUGACUCAGGACAUGUCGAUAUGGAUAGAAGUACAAGUGGCACGUUCCUUAAUGCUGUAUUUAUAUGAUGAGUGAAGUCAAGGGAACAGCAGAGAACAGCCGUGUCACUUAUGUAGAAGACUUGUCAAGAGAUUCUCCGCCGGCACUACUAGAAAUGCACAUGACUUCAUUCUUAUCCCAUCCAGGUGUGCAGGAGGAAAAGAACACUUGAUAUUGGAUGCAUCGCCCCCAUUUCAAGGAGUUUUUCCAGUGUACGUAAACAGUGAAUUAACCUGAAAAAGUAGUUUUCAGAAAAAUGCUCUGGCAGUCAAUAUGUCAAGUGUUGUUCCCAAUGCUCAUUUCUUAUAGCACUUGACUUGGACCACAUUGAAGGGAAAGGCUCAGGACUAGCAGCAGAUGCAGGAACAUUACUUAAUAAAUUGCUAAUCUGCAACAGUGAAGUCCUUCCAGAGUGGAUUUUAAGACAAAGAGAUUUUGUGCAUUUGUGCAGACUUAGGGGAACAUCUGUGUCUGUGAUGGCAGAAGAUUCAUUGUGUUAUAAUGGAAAUGAAGCCUCAAAGGAAAACCUUUUAGCUGAUAAAAUGCUGUACCACCAUCGCAUAAAAGGACACCGCUUUAUCUGUGAAAUGUAGCAAUCCCUGGGAACUGCCAUUGAUGUGAAGUUUUAAUCUCCCAUGUGGUUUCUUCAAAUAAAAGCUGGUGUAUCUGGAAGCCAAGCAAGAGGUGGGAAGUAGGAACUGUAAUACAGAGGGAGAAGCGGACAGGUUUUUCUCCUGUUGUUUUUGGAGGUCUAGAUCAUGCUCUCUGAGGGAUUUGGGUUGUUAGUGUUAAAACCUAUUUUCCGUGGG